rnacentral:lncRNA from 10 species
GGUGAAAACAGGACAACUCUGAUGAAGGCUCUGCAAUGCCAGAGGGAGGCUUGUGCAAAUAUUCUCAUAGAUUCUGGUGCUGAUCCAAAUAUUGUAGGCUGGCCACACACCACUUUUAUUGGCCAUAAGGAAAAGAAGUGAGCAAAUUGUGGAAUUUUUACUGACAAAAAAUGCAAAUGCAAUUGCAGUUGAUAAGUUUAAAUGCAUUCAUCAACAACUUUUGGAAUAUAAACAAAAGAUAUCUAAAAAUUCUCAAAAUAGUAAUCCAGAAGGAACAUCUGAAGGAACACUUGAUGAGGCUGCACCCUUGGCAGAAAGAACACCUGACACGGCUGAAAGCUUGGUGGAAAGAACACCUGAUGAAUAGGAUACAGUGAAUUCCUCUUCAAAGAUUUUAGCCUGUAAAUAUCCUUUAAAAUUCAAGAGGGGGAAGAUUAAGUACAAUGAGUUCUGAGUUCCUCAUCAAAGAACAAAUAUGUCAGUAUGUUCAGCUUCUCUGUUCUUUGUUCUCCGUUUUAAAGUUUAACUUCCUCGUUCGUUAUGCCUCCUUGCCCCUAGUUUCAUUAAACAACCCCCUUCUAGCCUCUAACACCUGCUUUGUCUUUAGUCAUUCUUAGUAACCUGCUCUGUCCUUAGUCAUCCUUAGACACCUGCUCUGUAACUGUCUUUCCCACUGAAACUACUCACCCUGCCACUCCAGCUCAUACCCCUGCCCUCUUUGAAAUAGCCAAUCUGAAUUGGCUUAGAGUGUGCAGUCCAACCCUAUCCAAUAGGGAAAAGACACAACAGUAGGGACUAGCUGAGUUAGAAAUAAGAACACUUUCCCCUCCCUUGUCUGGUGUGAUCUUGCCUUUGCUCCAUCUGCAAGACCACUCUUCCAUAGAAGUAAAUUUGCCUUGCUGUAAAAACUUGUUGCUGGAGUGCUGACGGUUCUUUGCGGCAACGAAAAUUAUUUUCCACAAAUUUGAGGGCCCACCCAGCAUUCCCAUUCUCCUCUGGGGGAGGGUCCAGUCCUCUCCCUUGAGGAGGCGCACCCCGCUGCCUCGUUGCAGUGGCCAUAAAGGUAAGGAAUCAAGACUCAACUGGUGCGAUUAAUAAAUCCGGGCUCUCAGCAACGUGGAAAGAAACAGACCAGCAACUUUGGGGAAAGGAUCUUCACAUACCGUGGCGACCAGGUAACUGUGCACAGACCGAGGUAAGAAAUGUCGCAGGGGUGACAAAGUAUUUCCUUGGUGGUUGGGAUAUUCUGGAGGUUGAAAGUGUGUGUGAAUGAUCACAAGCACUACUGCUUGUGGUGCUCUUUGUGUGGAUGAUACUAAGCAUUAUUGCUGUGAGGAGUGAGUGGGUCCUAACUGCGGUUUUUUAUUUGAAUAAAAAACCUUUGGAGAGGAAUUCACUGUAUCCUCAUAGGGCUCAGGGCAGAUCUUGCUGUGGGGUUUAUACCAUGAUGCCAAUGCUAAGAGGGACCUAAAAUUCCUGGGAGGGAAGCAGCCAGAGUGGAUGAAGUGAAAGAAGGGUGCGAGGAGCCUCCAGCAGGCUGGAGUGCAAUGGUGCGAUCUUGAUUCACUGCAAGCUCCGCCUCCCAGGUUCACUCCAUUCUCCUGCCUCAGCCUCCCGAGUAGCUGGAACUACAGGCGCCUACCACCACGCCCAGCAAAUUUUUUGUAUUUUUAGUAGAGACGGGGUUUCUCCGUGUUAACCAGGAUGGUCUCAAUCUCCUGACCUCGUGAUCCACCCACCUCAGCCUCUCAAAGUGCUGGGAUUACAGGCAUGAGCCACUGUACCUGGCCAACAUUGUCCAGAUAUUUCAAAAAAGUUACAAAAAUUAGAAGAUUGGGAAAACUGACUUCAAGUGAACUUCAAUGAGACGUGAACCUCAAGUGAAGUGACCUCAAGUGAACCUCAGAGAGACUCAAAAAGUAUCUGUGAAGAGAGACGAAGAAAAGCAAAAACAAAAGACAAAACUUAUGUUAUUCACCUUCCAACAGAUGGCUCCAAACCCAUGUACCCCUAAACAGAGCUUCCAGUGGGCCAGAAACUGUAAAGGUUCCAAACCCUCCUUUAAAGGACCCAAGCCUCCACUGGGAGGAUCAAGGC